AGUGAACGCUGGCGGUAGGCCUAACACAUGCAAGUCGAACGGCAGCACAGUAAGAGCUUGCUCUUACGGGUGGCGAGUGGCGGACGGGUGAGGAAUACAUCGGAAUCUACUUUUUCGUGGGGGAUAACGUAGGGAAACUUACGCUAAUACCGCAUACGACCUACGGGUGAAAGCAGGGGAUCUUCGGACCUUGCGCGAUUGAAUGAGCCGAUGCCGGAUUAGCUAGUUGGCGGGGUAAAGGUCCACCAUGGCGACGAUCCGUAGCUGAUCUGAGAGGAUGAUCGGCAACACUGGAACUGAGACACGGUCCAGACUCCUGCGGGAGGCAGCAGUGGGGAAUAUUGGACAAUGGGCGCAAGCCUGAUCCAGCCAUACCGCGUGGGUGAAGAAGGCCUUCGGGUUGUAAAGCCCUUUUGUUGGGAAAGAAAAGCAGCAGGUUAAUACCCCGCUGUUCUGACGGUACCCAAAGAAUAAGCACCGGCUAACUUCGUG
rnacentral:rRNA from 1 species